AACUUUCGACAAUGGAUCUCUUGGUUCUGGCAUCGAUGAAGAACGCAGCGAAAUGCGAUAAGUAAUGUGAAUUGCAGAAUUCAGUGUAUCAUCGAAUCUUUGAACGCACAUUGCGCCCCUUGGUAUUCCGAGGGGCAUGCCUGUUCGAGCGUCAUUACAACCCUCAAGCCUUGCUUGGUAUUGGGCGCCGCUGCUUACCCAGCGCGCCUUAAAAUCAGUGGCGGUGCCGUCGGGCUUCUGAUAGCAGUAAACAUCCUCGCUUUAGGGACCGGUGGACGCUUGUCAUCAAACCCAACUUUUUUAGUUUGACCUCGGAUCAGGUAGGGAUACCCGAUGAACUUAAUCAUAUCAAUAAGCGGAGGCU
rnacentral:misc_RNA from 1 species